AGACAACGGCAGCCGGAGGAAGCCAGGCACAAGGCUCUGUCUGCUCCCACUCAUCUGAGCUGUAAGGACAAGGCGAACCUACUGGGCCGUUCGCCAUGGGCCCUGCAGCUCCCCUGGGGUGGCGGGGGCGUGGAGGGGACAGCCAGGGCACUUCCGGGGGCCCGAGGUUGUGUUUCUUGAGCUGGGUGCUCACGUGUAUAAAAUUUCACCUAGCUGAACACUCUUGGCGUGGGUGUUUUUCUGUAAGUAUAUUCACCGGCAAGCUAAAGAGAACGAGAGAGAGAGAGAGAGAGAGAGAGAGAGAGAGAGAAGGCCAGCACAGCUAAGCCACUCUUCAAAUGUUCGGGGUUUCUGCAGACUUGUGUGCUGGCUUGUCCUCUACGGAGGACUUCCUUCCUGCGUCCCAUAAAAGUUGUAGUAACGUCUCAUGCCCCAAAUCAGGAAGAACCCGCUCUUGGAUUUCGCAAGGGGGAAGUUCUGAAGGCCACUGUCCCAUUGUCCGCACUGGACCCCUCAAAGUGAACCGGCACCGUGAUGCGGAGGUCUGGGUGACCCUCGGGCCCCGGGACGCGGAGCAGGGCCCUGUAUUCAGCUAGUGCGGGCACCUGCACAGACGUGCGUGUGCACUCCCGGCCAAGACCCUCCCUGCCUGUCUCAGAACUCGACUCCGUUCCCCUGACUUGAAGGAUCUCCACGUGCGUCACCACAAGGUUCUUCUGAGGAAGACCUAGAAUGUGAGGUGUAAACUGAGGCCGCAGGGGCCCAGAAUCAGGGUGCAGCCCGAGCAACAUUCCUCAGGCAGCUCGACGGCCAAAACUCGGGUGAAAACACCACCUUAUUUCCCAGAACAGGCAUCAGGCACGCUGAGUCCCACGCCUCAUAAAACCUAACGUGAUGUGCUCUCGGGUACCUUGCUUGGACUCAAGCCAAACUCGAAGAGAAGGUCCUUCUAAACCCACCCUUUCCAAAGCAGAGAAGAGGCACCUUCCUCCUCCUCCUGGAGGUGAACCAGGAGGCACAUGCCUCCCCCGAGGGUCCCAGCCUGGGGACAGGCUGCCCCUCAGAAGAGCUGAGGGCUCAGCGAAGAACAUGCAGGCCCGAAGAGACUGAGAACUCGAGAGCAAAUCACCCAGAAAGAAGCUCUGGGUGUUUCUGUUGACACCAGUAGGAUGUGGAUUUUCUGUUGCUGAACAGAAGCCCUCUGCUAAAAUCGCCUUUGGAAACCUUUGCUGUUCGUAGGCAUCUGUGAUCGCAAAGAAGUAAAACCAGUAUGCCUGCUACAGAAGUGGCCUCCGAGGGGCGGGGUGGGAGCUCCAGCGGGCACGCGGGAGAGUCGCGGGCCUGAGAGCUUGAGAAAUCACGAUUCUGCUGAAAGCAGCGAAGGCAGAGAUGGAGACACCGUUCCUCCUCUUUCACGGCAAACACCCCGCGGGGUCACGGGGCAAAUAUCACCGGUGCUGACACGUGGCCACGGGGCUUGGCGCCUUACGAGGCAAGCUCAGCUACAAGGCCCUCCCUUCCAGGAGGUGUUCUGGAACACGUGGGGCAGGUCGCCCCUCCGCAGAAACGAGCCGGACUACUGCCAUUCGGGAGCUAGAGGCCAAAGCAGCGUCCGGUAGAAUCACACUGUCCAACAGCCGGGGAAGCCGUGGAGGAAGCCAAGACGGCCCGUGGCCUCAUGGCCUGGCGUGCAGACCUCCUGUGGGCACCCGUCUGGGGCCCCUCCACGUCCGGCGUCGCCACUGCGUACCCCUUUCACUCUGAAAAGGGCCAGAUGUGGGCCGCCAAUGAUCCGGACCACCACCUCCAGGACUGACACGUCUGGGAACGUAGCAACACCAAGUCCUUUUCUUCGUUGACCGGGACAGCCCGGAGGAGAGAUUGGGGUCCGGUGGAAAGCGACCCCGAGCCUUCCAGCACAGCGUCUCGUGCCUUCGGGGCACACUGCGGGGCUGGGAGGGGGGCCCUCUCUCCCGGGGGUGCGUGCUGCGGGCCCUCCCCCCUUCUCUUCUGUGUUGGGGGGGUGAGGACAGCGCCUGCACACGCGGGGGGGCGUGCUGGUUGCCUCCCCCAGGCACACACCAUCCACACACCGUGCACGCGGGCUGAGCACUCGAAACACAAGCUCGACUGCGGUCCCGGUCUCCCGGGGCCCUCAGAGGUGUGGGGGGCUAGCCUGGGCCAGUGCCGGGCACGGGGUCAGCAACCGUGAGGCAAGGGCAAGGACUCGGGGGUUCACGGCUGAGGAAGGCAGGAGACGGGCUGGAAGGUUCUCACGUGGUUGACAGUCCGUAUGGAUUCGGCCAGCGGAUGGGGAUACUGAGUCACGCCAGGGCCUCCUUGUUCCUCCAGGCAGCUGUGCACGGCUCGACUUCGGGAUUUCCCUGUGCACGGGUUACGGAGCAAGGCGGGCACGACCUGUGCAAAGAGGAGAAGGUCAAGGCCCAGGAGAAGAGACCCAGGGCAACUGUCCUGCGCCCCGAUCCCCCCCACUGCUGUCCUAGGAGGCAGGAGGGCCCUGCUGGAACCCAUCCCUCUGGUUACUGUCCCAUCAACAGCGAAUCUUGGCAUCCGCGCUGCUCGCUGAUCCGGACAGCCUCCAGACAGCAGGAUGUACCCUCGCUUUGCAUUUAGAGCCUGAGCUCCGUCUCUCCUAGUCUCUCCGCACAGACCGCCGUGCCUGAGACCCCAGCCAGGGCAGAGUGAGGGGUCUGACCCCAAAGGCGCAGUCAGGAAUCUGAAUGCUGACCUCCUCUUUUGCACUAAAAUGCUUGUGUGUUAUCAGAGGGGAGCGCACAAGAACGAAACCGCUUGAGCCUCUGCGUCCUCAGGCUGCGGUCGGUCCCUGGGGCACACCGCUAGUGGACGUGUUUGCGGACUCGCGUGUUCUUCAGGUCUGCUCACCAGCGCCGGAGCCACCAAGUGGCCGGUUUUGAUUUAUCAGGUCACUUCAGCACCACACACCGAAGCAUCUCUGCAAAUGUCCUCUUCCCCUGUCUUGCCUUCCAGACUCUCCCAGGCUCUGGCGGACCAGCGAGGACGAGCACGUCUGGUGGCGUCCACUCUCUUGUCGGUGUGCCCCGUCUGUGCGUGUGCGUGUGCAAUGCCAUCGUGGACGAGGAUCAGGUUGGGGAUCUGAGGGGAGGCUCACUGCGGCCCACCGCCCUCAGCGGUCCGUUUGGCUCUUGGCCACGGAGAGGAGAGAACUACGGUCUCUGGGUAACUCCCUCUCUCUUUGGCCUUGUAAGGAAAUAUCUAGGGAAGACAGCAGAAGGUGUGUCGGUGAGGUUUGCCGGUGGCAUCAGAAGGUAUGAGAGAAAAGUGGGUUCUUCCCCUGCCCCUCCCUCCCCAUCCACCUGGC